rnacentral:rRNA from 1 species
ACGCUCGACACCUACGGGAGGCAGCAGUGGGGAAUAUUGCACAAUGGGGGGAACCCUGAUGCAGCGACGCCGCGUGAGUGAAGAAGUACUUCGGUAUGUAAAGCUCUAUCAGCAGGGAAGAAAAUGACGGUACCUGACUAAGAAGCCCCGGCUAACUACGUGCAAGCAGCCGCGGUAAUCUGAGCGGGCUGGCAAGGC